GACGAACGCUGGCGGCGUGCUUAACACAUGCAAGUCGAACGAUGAAGCCUUUCGGGGUGGAUUAGUGGCGAACGGGUGAGUAACACGUGGGCAAUCUGCCCUGUACUUUGGGAUAAGCCUUGGAAACGAGGUCUAAUACCGGAUAUGAUGAGUCCUCGCAUGGGGGUUUGUUGAAAGUUCCGGCGGUACAGGAUGAGCCCGCGGCCUAUCAGCUUGUUGGUGGGGUAAUGGCCUACCAAGGCGACGACGGGUAGCCGGCCUGAGAGGGCGACCGGCCACACUGGGACUGAGACACGGCCCAGACUCCUACGGGAGGCAGCAGUGGGGAAGUAUUGCACAAUGGGCGAAAGCCUGAUGCAGCGACGCCGCGUGA
rnacentral:rRNA from 1 species